AGAAUCAACGCUGGCGGCGUGCCUAACACAUGCAAGUCGCACGAGAAAGGGGACUUCGGUCCUUGAGGUACAGUGGCGCACGGGUGAGUAACACGUGAAUUAUCUACCUUCGAGUGGGGAAUAACUGAGAGAAAUCUUAGCUAAUACCGCAUAAUACCUACGGGUCAAAGCAGCAAUGCGCUUGAAGAGGAGUUCGCGGCAGAUUAGUUAGUUGGCGGGGUAAUGGCCCACCAAGACGAUGAUCUGUA
rnacentral:rRNA from 1 species